rnacentral:rRNA from 1 species
AUUGAACGCUGGCGGCAGGCCUAACACAUGCAAGUCGAACGAGUGGCGGACGGGUGAGUAAUGUCUGGGAAACUGCCCGAUGGAGGGGGAUAACUACUGGAAACGGUAGCUAAUACCGCAUACCAUCGGAUGUGCCAAGAGGGGAUUAGCUAGUAGUGGGGGUAAAGGCCCACCUAGGCGACGACCCCUAGCUGGUAUGAGAGGAGGACCAGCCACACUGGAACGUAGACACGGUCCAGACUCCUACGGGAGGCAGCAGUGGGGAAUAUUGCACAAGGGGCGCAAGCCUGAUGCAGCCAUGUCGCGUGUAUGAAGAAGGCCUUCGGGUUGUAAAGUACUUUCAGCGGGGAGGCGUUACCCGCAGAAGAAGCACCGGCUAACUCCGUGCCAGCAGCCGCGGUAAUUC